AAUCAACGCUGGCGGCGUGCCUAACACAUGCAAGUCGAACGAGAAAGUGGAGCAAUCCAUGAGUAAAGUGGCGCACGGGUGAGUAACACGUGACUAACCUACCCUUGAGUGGGGAAUAACUUCGGGAAACCGAGGCUAAUACCGCAUAACACCUACGGGUCAAAGGAGCAAUUCGCUUAAGGAGGGGUCGCGGCAGAUUAGUUAGUUGGCGGGGUAAUGGCCCACCGAGACGGUGAUCUGAUCCGGCCUGAGAGGCGCACGGACACACUGGAACUGAAACACGGUCCAGACUCCUACGGGAGGCAGCAGUGGGGAAUUUUGCGCAAUGGGGGAAACCCUGACGCAGCAACGCCGCGUGGAGGAUGAAGUCCCUUGGGACGUAAACUCCUUUCGAUCGGGACGAUUAAUGACGGUACCGGAAGAAGAACGCCCCGGCUAACUUCGUGCCACGCCGCCGCAGUAAU
rnacentral:rRNA from 1 species